CUGCGGAGGGAUCAUUACUGA
rnacentral:rRNA from 1 species